AUUGAACGCUGGCGGUAUGCUUAACACAUGCAAGUCGAACGGCAGCAUGCUUGUAGCAAUACAAGUGAUGGCGAGUGGCGGACGGGUGAGUAAUGCGUAAGAAUCUACCUAUUUGACUGGGAUAGCCUAUGGAAACGUAGGGUAAAACCGGAUAUGCUGUACGCAGUAAAAGUGGGAUUUCGGUCCUGCUGCUAAUAGAUGAGCUUACGUUGGAUUAGCUAGUUGGUGGGGUAAGAGCCUACCAAGGCGACGAUCCAUAGCUGUUCUGAGAGGAAGACCAGCCACAUUGGGACUGAGACACGGCCCAGACUCCUACGGGAGGCAGCAGUGGGGAAUAUUGGACAAUGGGCGAAAGCCUGUUCCAGCAAUACCGCGUGUGUGAAGAAGGCCUGAGGGUUGUAAAGCACUUUCGUUUGGGAGGAAGAGAUUUGUUUUAAUAGAGCAAAUUGAAGACGUUACCAAAAUAAGAAGCACCGGCUAACUCUGUGCCAGCAGCCGCAGUAA
rnacentral:rRNA from 1 species